UAAAAAUCAAAUUUUGGCACAGUUAGAUCGUGGCUAACAAUUUACUUUCCCUCUUCACACUUUCAGUGAGCCACCUAUUUUUUUUCCCAUUCCCUCUAUUUUUUUAUUCCCUUUUGUUUAUGUUUUCCAUUCCCUUUCACCUUUUUCCAAUCCUUUUUUUAUUUCACGUUUCAUUUAUCUUCUCUUAUCUUCUCUGCUCACCUUCAAUUCCCUUUCUCUUAUAUGUUCUUCUUUGCUCACCGUCAAUUCCUUUUUCCACGAUACACAAAUAUGUGAAAUUGCCACCAGAAAGAAUGUCACCGGACACUGGACCAGUAAAGUAUCACGCAACCCAGUCACCAACACCAGACAUCUCACGACCCAGCCACAAGCACUCACGACUAAGUCACCGGCAAUAACGCCACGCGACCCAGCCAUCGUCAAGAACUCACGAGCUCCUCUCUUUCGUUCUCUCUGGGAUAAAGUUCAACAUGCUAGAGACAAUGGGGUGGUUCUUUACAAUGUGACACUCAAGUGUUAAGAAAAUGUAAGGAUUUUGAAGGAGCACAUAAGGUGUUUGAUGAAAUGCUUCAAAGAGGGGUAAAACCAAAUAACAUUAUAUUAAUUACUAUAUGAUUAACUGUGUUAGAAUGAUUGUUUUACCUGAUGAGACUAUUGAGCGGUUUGAGAAAAUGUCGGGUUUUGGGUGUGAACCCGAUGCUAUCACUUGAUCGGCUAUGGUGGUGCUUUUGCGCGUACUAAUCAUGUUGAUAUGGCUCGGCGUUUAUAUGAUCGUGCAAAAAUGGAAAAAUAGAUAAUAACUAAGGACCAAGGAACUAGGAAACAAACAUUAGACCUGCCCACAAAUUAAUCUGUUAAGAUAAUUUAAAAUUUAUUUCAAUUAUUUAUCUUUUUGUUAAGUUC